rnacentral:rRNA from 1 species
UACGUAGGGUGCAAGCGUUGUCCGGAAUUAUUGGGCGUAAAGAGCUCGUAGGCGGUUUGUCGCGUCGAAUGUGAAAACCCGGGGCUCAACCCCGGGCCUGCAUUCGAUACGGGCAGACUAGAGUUCGGUAGGGGAGUCUGGAAUUCCUGGUGUAGCGGUGAAAUGCGCAGAUAUCAGGAGGAACACCGGUGGCGAAGGCGGGACUCUGGGCCGAUACUGACGCUGAGGAGCGAAAGCGUGGGAGCGAACAGG